rnacentral:rRNA from 1 species
AGGGAGACAGGUGGUGCAUGGUUGUCGGUUCAGCUCGUGUCGUGAGAUGUUGGGUUAAGUCCCGCAACGAGCGCAACCCCUACGUUUAGUUGCUAACGCGUGAAGGCGAGCACUCUAGACGAACUGCCGUUGACAAACGGAGGAAGGUGGGAUGACGUCAAAUCAUCAUGCCCCUUAUGUUCUGGGCUACACACGUGCUACAAUGGCCGGUACAGACGGACGCAAAGCCGCGGAGGUGGGGCAAAUCCUAAAAAGCCGGUCUCAGUUCGGAUUGCAGGCUGCAAUUCGCCUGCAUGAAGUCGGAAUCGCUAGUAAUCGCAGGUCAGCAUACUCGCGGUGAAUACGUUCCCGGGCCUU